rnacentral:rRNA from 1 species
AGGGUUUGAUCAUGGCUCAGGACGAACGCUGGCGGCGUGCUUAACACAUGCAAGUCGAACGGAAAGGCCUCUUGCUUGCAAGGGGUACUCGAGUGGCGAACGGGUGAGUAACACGUGGGUGAUCUGCCUUGCACUCUGGGAUAAGCUUGGGAAACUGGGUCUAAUACCGGAUAUGAACUGCCUUUAGUGUGGUGGUUGGAAAGUUUUUUCGGUGCAAGAUGAGCUCGCGGCCUAUCAGCUUGUUGGUGGGGUAAUGGCCUACCAAGGCGUCGACGGGUAGCCGGCCUGAGAGGGUGUACGGCCACAUUGGGACUGAGAUACGGCCCAGACUCCUACGGGAGGCAGCAGUGGGGAAUAUUGCACAAUGGGCGGAAGCCUGAUGCAGCGACGCCGCGUGGGGGAUGACGGCCUUCGGGUUGUAAACUCCUUUCGACAGGGACGAAGCUUUUUGUGACGGUACCUGUAUAAGAAGCACCGGCUAACUACGUGCCAGCAGCCGCGGUGAUACGUAGGGUGCGAGCGUUGUCCGGAAUUACUGGGCGUAAAGAGCUCGUAGGUGGUUUGUCGCGUCGUCUGUGAAAUUCCGGGGCUUAACUUCGGGCGUGCAGGCGAUACGGGCAUAACUUGAGUGCUGUAGGGGAGACUGGAAUUCCUGGUGUAGCGGUGAAAUGCGCAGAUAUCAGGAGGAACACCGAUGGCGAAGGCAGGUCUCUGGGCAGUUACUGACGCUGAGGAGCGAAAGCAUGGGUAGCAAACAGGAUUAGAUACCCUGGUAGUCCAUGCCGUAAACGGUGGGCGCUAGGUGUAGGGGGCUUCCACGUCUUCUGUGCCGUAGCUAACGCAUUAAGCGCCCCGCCUGGGGAGUACGGCCGCAAGGCUAAAACUCAAAGGAAUUGACGGGGGCCCGCACAAGCGGCG